UUACCAAACUGGGGGAAAGGAAUAUGGAGGAUGCGCAGGAAUGAUGAAACAAACGCUUGUCAUUUAUCUUCAGUAAGAAAUGCAGCAUUUCAUAGUCACUUACAAACAGGGCUUACCGUAAUGACCACAAAAUAGCAGCAAUAAAAAUUUUUGCCAUGGAGACUGCUUUUUUAAAAGGCAAGUGUCUGAUGUGUGAGUUUGAGUAUUAAAAACUAAAGUUCAAGACGUGCUUAUAAGAAAAAACUGUGCAGCGCUACUUGACAUUUUUGAUGCUUACAGUUUCAGGAGUAAAAAGAAAGGAACGCUUAUCUAGUCAUUACGGUAAUCUUAACCCACAUCUCUUCUACGAAAGUACUUUUGUUUCUUCUGUAGUAGUCUUUGGAUUCACUUUAAAAGUAGCCUAAUACACAAGUUUUUCCCUACGAAGUGAACUCCUCUGCGUCUGUUGUCGGUCCACUCGUUUCCUCGGUGAACUGCAGCAUCCUCUGCAUACAUACAUGACCCAUAACCCCGAGAGGAGGUGGGCGGCUGGGUGCGAAGCGCGGCGUCUGCAGCAUAAUUAAAACAUGGCGGACUCGGAGGAAUAUAGACUUAAACGAUUAAAGCAUGAGGAGCACAUGUCCAGGGUGUUUGACGAGGUGAUGGGGCUGGGAGACUUCGCCGACUCCUCCAGGGGCUCCAAUGCAUCUUCCAAGAGUGGUGGACAGGACGAGACGAAGGGAGUGGACCAAACCUCAGGACAAGAGGAGCAACAACCAAUGGAGGAGGAGGAGGUGGAAGAGGAGGAGGAUAGCAACAGCAGCAGGAAAGAAGAAAAGACAGACAAAGGGGCGGGCGAGUCAUCACUUCCUCGCAUUGCCUCACCCACCACUGACCCACAGGAUUCUUUUAAAAUGGGGACCAGCGAAGGGGGAGGUGGACGAGGAGGAAGCGGGGCAGCGGCUUUUGAUGACGCGCUGGAUGGCCUUCCUUCAUUUGGGCAGGAGGAAGAUGAUGAAGACUGGCACUUUGCCCUACCCAUGGGCACCCUGGAGGAUGUAGAUGUGGAUAAGGCCGGCAGGAAAAGUAGCCAGCGGGAGAACAGCGAAGCUCCGAGCAAUACCUUUGGUUCUGAGCCAAAAGUAGGGGAGGCUGAGGAGGAGGAGGAGGAAGAGGAGGAGGAGCAAGAGCAAGAAGAGAGGGCAGGGAGCACCGGUUCCGCUAACACCUUCCACUCGUCACAAGACAACAGCAGAGAUGCGGGCGUCCUGAACCAGACAGAGGAGACGGAAGACAGUGAGCAGGGAGAGACGUCAGAGGCAGCUCCGGUGGAGGACAGCAAUCCCCCAAUUUCUCCGAGUGUGAAUAUAAAAGAGGAGCCUAUUGAUGAAGGCUACGAUGCUGCGUUAUUGCCUCAGAGCUCCAUCAGACAGAUCAAAGAGGAGCUCGAACACCAGGAGGAGGAGCUGAGGAUCAGCUCCGUCUUCUCUGUAGGUGGAGGCAACACCUUCGCCUCUCCUACCAUGCCAGCAGCAGUCCCAGCCCCGACUCCGACUGCCAUUUUUAUCCCUGGUAGAGGAGCUGUCCUACAAGCCAUGGCUCCCCUCCCCAUCAGACCUCCAGUUCCAGUCCCAACUUCACUACCAGCUCUGACACCAAUACCGCCGCGCCCACCACAACCCCCAGUUCCUGGUAGCGUUCGCUGCAGCGGUUGCUCUAAGGUUCUGCUGAAAGGUCAAACGGCUUUCCAGAGAAAAGGAUCGACGCAGCUCUUCUGCUCCACCGUAUGUCUGACGGGCCAUCUUCCUCUGCCCACUAAAAACCGAUGCUGUUUCCAGUGCAACAGGGAGAUUGUUCAACCCAGGGACAUGAUCACGAUCCCAGCAGACGACCGCACCUUCAUGCACUUUUGUGGCCAGUUCUGUUUGUCCGUCUUUAGACACAAGAAGAAACAGACUGACAAGAUUCCUGACAAAUGGGCUGAUAAACAAGUGGAGAGAAAGCCAGAGAAGCCGCCAGAGAAACCAGCAGAGCGCCAGACUGACAAACCCUUCUGUAGUGUCUGUAAAGUCUCCAACAAGCCAAUUGAGCACGAGGUCACCCAUCAAGGCCGCUUACACAGACUGUGCAGCGACGCUUGCUUUGUAACCUGGCGCAAGAUACGUCAGUUAGCUAUGAACUGCUGUGAAGGCUGCGGUCUUUACUGUAACACCAAAUCAGGUUCCUGUCAGACACUCACGAUCGAGAAGUCUCAGCUCAACUUCUGUGGUCCCACCUGCAUUAGCACCUACAAACAGACCUGUAGAAAGACAACAGAGUGCGCGUACUGUCACAAGACAGUGGUCGUGUCCACCACCAUCAUGGAACGAGACCAGAAGGGAAAAGUUCAGCUUUACUGUUCAGUGGUCUGCGUGGAACAGAGUCGACCACCUCAGCAUAAUCUCACUGGUACUCCAUUCCCAUGUUCCCUGUGUAAAGUGACCGCCGUUCCUCAGUAUCACCUUGCCAUGGUGGACGGCACCAUACGUAACUUCUGCUCCUACACCUGUGUGUCUAUCUUCAGGAAAUCUGGCCACAUAUCCCAGCCAGACCUGACCAAUGGAGCCUCUUCUCUCAGGGACCCCUCCGUCAGAGAUGCCCCCAAACCGGGGCCUUCUGCCGGAGCCAGCUCAGUCCCUCCCGUCCCUCAGGAUUACCCAUCCUCAGUUCCCUAUCCAGGCAAUCAUCCCAGUCAUACCUCAGUGCCCCCACUAGUGCCUCCCCAUCCGGCCAUCUCCUCCUCCCCUUCUGUGCCAGGACAAACGCAGGCCGGUCAGCCACUGAAACCGGCAGAGGGCCGGCUAGGUGACACCUCCAAACUGACCUGUCAUCAGUGCAGCAAACAGUUCAACACCAAGCCGCUAUUAUUCAGCCACCAGGGUCGAAUUUCUGUGUUCUGCAGUAAGAUGUGCUGUGAGCAGUAUAAAACCCAGAAAAAUAUCCUUGCUGUGUGCGAGUGGUGUAAGCAGGAUAAGGUGAUCUUUGACACCAUCGCCUACAACCAGCAGGACCUGGUCUUCUGCAGUGAAAACUGUAAGCUGCUCUUCAAGCAUGACCUGACUUCUCGUAGCAAGGAGCAUGUCUGGCGUCCCUGCACCUACUGCUCUGGCAUUGCGCAGAAGAUGCUGCACAGUCACUACGGAGGCAAGCUGGAGGAGUUCUGCAGACCCCACUGCAUGUCCCAGUACACUGUACUCUACUACGGGAUGGGUCGGUGUGACAGUUGCAGGAAGCAGGGCUACAUGACAGAGAAGCUGCAGUGUUUGGGUUCGGUGCGUAACUUCUGCAACCUGCCCUGCCUACAGCAGUACUGCCACCUUCACUUUGAGACGAGCCAACACAGCAGCGGUAACGGGACGGCGCCACAGACACCAUAUGCUCCAACCCAACCCCACCACUCCUCAAAGAUGAAUCCAGUCAUAGCUGACGUCGUCUCAUUGGCCAACGGCUCUGCCACACAGCCCAGCGUGUCAGCAGAUACCACUCUGACUGGAGCUCUACCGACCUCCAAUGUAGACGGCAAGAAUCUCGACCACGCCAGUACCCAGACCGAUGCCAUGCGUGUGCCUUCAUCCCGUCGGCGUCAGAUGAAGAACAAGUCCGUUCUCUGCAGGCCCUUCACCAUGGACCAAGAGAGCAUGUGCCAGCUGCCUUCUACUGAAUCAGGAGCAGGAGAGGAGAACGUGAAGGUGUUAAUGGUUCCAGUCCCAGUGCCGGUCUUCAUUCCAGUGCCUAUGAACAUGUAUUCCCAGCACACACCUGUUCCACUGCCUAUGCCCAUGCCUGUUCCAGUACCUAUGCUGGUUCCACCACUGAACAAGGACACGAAAGAUGCAGCUGUCCAGUCAGAGGCUUCUUUGGUGGAGGAAGAAAAGCAGAGAGAUGAGUCCGGUGCAGACCAGAACACCUCUGAGAGUGGAGCCAUGAAGUCUGAAGUGGUCGCUCCCACAAUCCCUCAUCACGGGGAAACUCUGAGGGAAGAAGAAGACCGAGCUGACCUACCACUUACUCAGACUUCAGAUAAGAAUCCAGAGGCAGCUGAUCCAGAGCCAGAGACGAGCCAAAUGACAACCGACCCUCCUGCCAGCUGUGCCGACGAUCAACCACCAACCUCCCCGAUGAUGGACUUGGAAAAUGACUUCCCUUCUAAGUCGCUGGAUCAGAAGUCAUGUGCUCCACAGCGAGGAGUGAAGAGACCCAGAGAGGGCUCGUCGGGCCGGAAACGGGGUCGUCGGAGGACUGGUUCUCUGGAGCGUGGCACAGCCAUGGCACUUUCUGCCGCCUCCAAACUGAACCACCUGUACGGGGUUAAAGCCUGGAGAAGCUGGGUCCAGCAACGCAACAAGCAGCCACAAAAAUCCGAUCCAGUUGAAGUGAAAGAAGACGUCCUUGACUGCAACUCCGCUGAGCUGAGCUUCGGUCUGUCUUGCUUCAUAAAAGAAGUGCGACGCCCCAACGGAGAGCCCUACAGCCCGGACAGCAUCUUCUACCUCUGUCUGGGGAUACAACAGCAUCUGUUUAUGAUGGGUCGCAUAGAGAACAUCUUCACCGACCAGCUGUACAAUCAGUUUGCCUCCGAGAUCUCUGGGAUGCUUCAACUCUGGAAACCAAAACUACUACCUAGUGGUGGCGUUGUUUCCUCCCGUGUCGAGGAGUCCUACCUGUGGGAGUGUAAGCAGCUGGGCGCCUAUUCACCCAUAGUGUUGCUCAACACACUGCUCUUCUUCUGCACCAAAUACUUCCACUUCAACACCGUGGAGAAGCACCAGCGCCUGUCUUUUUCCAACUUCACCCGCCACUCUAAACCCUGCAGCCGAGCUGGCAAAGUCUACUACCUCCAAUUCCAGAGAAGCAGUGCCAGUGCGCCCAGCUCUGAAGAGACAGAACGACUCAGAAAAAGGCAGACGGAGAAUGAGGGGGACCUGGAGAUGAUGGAGAACGUCACCAACCCUCUGCACUGUCCUGUCCGACUUUAUGAGUUCUACCUCUCCAGAUGCCCGGAGUCUGUGAAGAAAAAGACCAACAUGUUUUACCUGCAGCCCGAACAGAACGUCCACACACACAGUCCCCACUGGUACACUUCUCAACCAUUGGAUGCCGCCACUCUACAGAGCAUGCUCACUCGCAUCUUGGCUGUCAGAGAGGUUCAGCAGGAAGAGGAAGCAGUGGUUCUCGCGUCCUCGUCUGCGCCUGCCGAAUGUGGCGGCUUACAGUGAUGCCAAGCGGCGCUCGUCCCGCUCAGAGUCCCCUCUGGGACCUGUUCCCUGAAUUAAAACUGUGCUCAUCGGUCACAUCGGAGGGAGGCUGACAGGGAAACGGAGCGAACAGAGACGCGAUGAACAGACCAUUCGGGUUUGUUACCUCAGCAGCGGUCACAGAAACGCACAACGAGUUUACAAACAUCUGAUGUUAUUAGGCAGGACAAAGGGAAUGUCUCACACAGCUUUCAGUGCCCGGGACGUCAGAUGUGCUUUUUAUUUCAGAUACAGACUGGUGAACGGUGACGCCCAUCUGAGUUGUCUUAUUAGUGUCUCAUUUUUUUGCUUCAACCCUUUCUGUGGAGAAUAGUGAACCCGACGCAGAAGGUUGCCUUUCUGGCAACACGCCACAUGAUCGAUAACAGCAUUUUGAGCCGAUACUGUUGUGUGUUUGUGCACUGCUGCUCCUCAGUUAAAGUGGCUGCUUUUUCCAGAUAAUUCCCUGGAAGCCCCGUUCUGUCCCUCAGUGACCCUAGAACUUAAUUUUGAGGAAGAUGAUGAAGUCACAGAGCGCCGGGUGUGACGAGAAGGGCGGAUGCUGAGCAAAGCUUGUGCUGGCGUGACUGGUGAAUGAUGCCACUGGCUUUCAGAUUUAUCUAGAAGUUUCUGCAACUGUUUCUUCUCGUUAUGAUUUCCUCUCAUUUUUACCACCUCUGAUACAGAUCUACAACAAAAAGAUGGUCCCAGUCCACCUGGAAAGUGUUUAUCCAUUUGUACAGAAACUGGUUGGGGGUGCACAUGCUAAAUCCCUAAAAUAAUUAUUUACACCUGCUGCUAGACAAAAAAACAUACUUGCCGUAUUCAAAGCAGCUGGUUGUAGUGCCAUCCGUCGUUCUUCUUCCUCUUAUCCAGGGCCAGGUUGUGGGGGGAACAGCCUAAUCAGAGAAACCCAGACCUCCCUCUCUCCAGCCACUUCCUCCAGCUUAACUGGAGUUGAGGCGUGUUCUGGGUCCAUCCCACAGCCUCGUCCCGGUAGGACAUGCCUAGCGCACCUCACCUAGGAGGCUAUGGAUAUCAUAAAGUGUUACUUUGACAUCCCAAAUACUCACAGAAAGGUGAUUUUUGGGAUUAAAUUUUAAUUUUAUGCAUUAUUUCAGCCCCUAAUGUCCCAAAAUGUCAAAUAUCCAGAAGAAAUUGUGAAAUGUACUAAAUGUGCUAUACAGGAAAUAAAUUAAAUUUAGACCCAUUACAAACUCCGCCACAAGUCUACAGCGGCUGUGUGAACUAUUCGCAGUUCACAGUGAAUAUCUCUGCCUUAAAAAGUCCAACUCUGCUCCUGACCUGAUGCUUUCAGAGUUUUCAGCUGAAAAUUGGCUGUACCUGAACACCGAGCUCUCCUCAACAACUCAUUUUGACACAAAAGUUUCGAGGCCUCCUAAAGCUCGUAACGGGACUUCCAUCCAAGAAGAAAGGAAGAGAGAUCCAAGAAAAUCCAAAAUUCAAACUUUGAAGGGGAGAUGGGCCAAAUGUCAGGUGUGUUUUUUUUAAUAUAUUUAAUGGACAGACCUUCUACUCACACCUUGUAUUUUAAUCCGUUAAACUGCAUUACAUGUCGAGUGUAAAUCCCGCAUCAUACCCAUCACUUUGGAUGUGGAUGACUCUUAAUGAUUGAGAUCUGAUUAAAACUUUAAAGUGAACUUAUUCUGCUCCUUUACUAAAAUAGCUUUGCAUGAUUCGCAGUUCAAAGUAAGCAACCCAGUAUCAAAGCAAAACAUGUAAUAGAGAUGCUGGACCACCUUGAUCAUUUCACGCUUUGCCUCUCCAAAAUGUGAAAUGGACACACCUUCAGAAGUUGCAUUACCAGCAGGGGGAGAUAAUGUAUUUAAAGCCACAAAGUCGGUAGUGAGCAAGAAACGUAUGAAGUACAUUCCAGGGUCCUUAAUCUUUAGACUCGAUUUAGCUCGGGGGCUAAUAUGUAUAUACAUGUAAAUGUGUUAAUAAUGUCUGUUUAAAAACUUUCCCGUGAUUAUUUUCAUGUUGGUUGAAAUAAAAUAUCUCCCUCUGCUGUUACUGCAACUUCUGCAUGCGUGUACAUUUCAUGUUUUGGAGAGGCAAAGCGAGAAAUGGUGGACCGUGAUAUCAGGUUGAAAUAAGCCAUCUCUGUCUUGCUCAAGUAGCUCCUCCCCCUUUAGCCCAGCUAUCUUCUCAUUGGCAGCUCCUUGUAAAGAGAAAGUGGGCGGAGUCUCUGUUUUGACAGCCAGAAGCUUGUGUCAGAGCUUUCUGCUCUCACUGGGUUCGUAAUCUUGCACACACAGACUGGCCAUCAUUAAAAUAAUAACCCGCUACUGUAACAGCCUAUAAGAGCACAAUAGGUCCCCUUUAAUAUUGAUCAGUGUAAUCCUUCUGUUAACAGCAAAAAACGCACAGUGCCUCUCAUCAUUUCUUCUUUUUUUAAUGAAUUAUCAGAUAUGAUAUAGUUCCCCCAUUUAUUUAUUUAUUCAUAUAUAUGUCCCAUGUGGCCUUAUUUCACUGCUAUGAACUUUCCAUUUUCCGUGCUGUAGGAGAAUCCGUUGAUAUUUUCUUUCUCCUUGUAGUGAACGGCUCACUACGAGUAUAUAAUCGGCUAAAUUCUCAAACCCCGAGGCUGACUUUCCCUUGUCUCCUUUCUUUCCUCUCCACUUUAUCCCCUCUGUCCUUCUUGUUUUUCACUCCCACCAGCUGGUUCCCAACUUGAGGAGUUGGCAGAUUUUAGAAGAGCAGCAGGCAAAUCAAAAGUAUAAAAACAAUACUCUUACUAACUCUUAAACCGGAGGUUUUCUGUAUUUUAAACUCUAUGUGUGCUUUUCUUUGGUUGGAGUCAUUCCGGAUUUCUGUGAGAGACUUUUGAUGAGGAAUGAACUCUGUGGUUGUUUUAUCUUUGUUGCCACACCCAGGCAUGUCUCCACAUGCUGGACGUUAUUAGGCCUAAACCCAAUUGUUUUGAUUGUAUUUUGCUUCUUUUUUUUUCACUCUUUGAACUUCCUUUCAUGAGCAGUUCACAGUUCUGCUGUUUGAGCAGGAACUUAGGAAAAACCUCUGGGAUAAACUGGGGUGUGUUGCUCUGUUGACCUAAUGAAAAUAUGAAUUUGUUCGUUCUCGUCGUGGACGUCGGGGAGCAGGUGCGUUCGUACAGCCUUUGUUGUUACUCAUAUUGUUUUUGUUGAUGGAUGGAUGGAUGUUGCAGCCACUCGCUGACAUUUUCCAGCACUUACAGUGUUUACUGAUGGUGAAUUAACACACACAGACUAUUGAGCAUAACUGUCACCAUUGCUGGUGUAAAUGAAAUAUUACUGUCUCAAUAUUACAGCUGCUGUCUGAAACCUCCUUUUUUAUUUCUUUUUCUUUCCUCAUGAUUUUUCAGUGAGAAGAGGCCCAAAGAUGUGACUUUGGACAUAGAGAAAGUACCCAGUGAGAGGCGGUUCUCUGGGUGAAAAUCUCUUGUUGAUGCCAGAGGUCAGAGGAGUAACUCGACUCAACUUAAGUAUGCAGAAGAAUCUCUGAUGCACAAAACACGUCAACCUUGAAGCAGAUGAGCUACAGCAGUAGAAGACCAUGCUACAGUGCUCUUGUCAGCUAAGAAAUAUAAACUGAGGUGACACUUCACAUGGCCUCACCAAAAUUGGACUCUAGGAAAUUGGAAAAAUGUUACCGGAGCUGAUGGGUCUUGAUUUCUGCUGGAUGGAUGGAUGGAUUCAGACAGUAGGGUCAGAGUUUGAUGUGAACAACAUGAAAGCAUGGAUCCAUCCUGCCUGGUGUAAUGCUAUUUUCUUGGCACACUGUGUGUCAGCUGAGCAUCAUUCAAACGCCACACCCUACCCGAGUAUUGCUGCUAAACAUGACCAUCCCUUUAUGACCACAGUGUACACAUCUUCUGAUGGCUGCCUCCAGUGGGAAAACUCAAGCUCAACUCAUCUCAAACUGGUUCAUUCAACAUGACAAUGAGUUCACUGUACUCAAAUUACAUCCACAGUCACUCAAUCUAAUAGAGAAACUUUGGAAUGUGGUGGAACAGGAGAUUCCCAUCAUGGACGGGCAGCUGACAAGUCUGCAGCAACUGUGUGACACUGUUGUGCCAACGUGGACCAAAAAGCACGUUGAAUCUAUGCCACAAAUAAUUAAGGUGGCCCUGGCAAAACAGUGUCCAAGCAAGUACAAGAAAGUGAGUGGUGAACGUACAUAUGUGGCUUGUCAGUGUGGUUUAUAUGGGAAAAAAAAACAGGCAUGACUAGUAGUGUCUGUAUGUGAAACAGCUGUUUCAAGUUUGUUUGGUAUACACACGGCAGGAAAUAAGGUAAGGCACAGAAGGUCGAUUAAUGUUUACUAAAUCCUGUCACUGUGUCAUGGGUCAGCUGCAUAAUGGAGUCGCGGUUUCAUGACUUCUGGAAAACAGGCAUUCCUGUUAUUCAAGAGGAGGCAGGCGCCUUUACGGCUGAUAAAUCCCAAAACUGGAUAAAAAAAUUUUUAAAAAACAGACGAGAGGAAAAAAAAGUAUGAAUUCACAAUCAAAUAAACUUUGUGCAUUAGAUAACAAACAGUCAGCUUUACUUUGACUUCAAAAACAAUGCUCUAACUUAUCUUCAUAUCAUCUUAUAUUAGUUUGAAAGCAUUCAUGAUCAUUCCUGUGUAUAUAGCAAUAAAAAGCAAACUACAGGCACACCAGAGGAAAAAAGGGGAGCAGUUUGUGGACCUAGAGCAAACUUUGUAAAUGAUGUGCAUGCUGGUGAUUUUCUUUCUUUAGUUUCAUGUAAAUGAAAGAAACAGGACCAGGAAGUGUCCAAUCAUAAUGACAUUUGUUUGUUAUCUGUCAUUUAAAUAUUCAGGAUUAUUUCCCUUCAUCUGCAAUCGGCAGGUUCUUGUUCUCUCCGAUGGCUUCUGAUAAAUCCCUUUGAAUUAGUUAGAUGUAAAAUCUUCUCAUGAUCAAAUGCAGUUUGAUUUCCCCACUUUUUCAAAAGAAACAGUUUGCAAAUCUGAAUUUUGUCUUGUUCUCUUCAGUCUUUCAUUAAAUUUAGACUCUAAUUUACCCGACACACUGCAGUAAACUUUUCACAAUGGUGCAUUAUUCUGGCCAUGAUAAUUGUGGCAGGUUAAGCAGACUCAGAAAUGAAGUCAAAUACCCGACAUGGAUGAGUGUUUGCACUGAGCUUUAUUCAAACAAGCACAAAAACAUGCUAUUGUUAGCUGUGUGGCUGUGCAGCUGGACAAGGGUUAAAGGAAAGUAGCCAUUAUACUGAUGAAGGUGGAUAAAGAUCAAAUCUGUGGCAUGUCCGGACAGAACGAGGAAACAAACUUCACAUAAGCAGCUUUUAUUUUGCAUGUACAGAUCUGAAACAGAGGUUAUCGCCAAAUGCAAAAUUCCCCCUGAUGUAAAACAUCUGAGUAUGCAGAUAAAAAUAUGGGUCAAGCCUUAGUUUAAAACAAAAAAAGACCUCUGAAUGUUGCAGGGAACUCUUUUGCACCAAAACUGACUGACAUAUAUAAAGCUGUGGUCUGAAGUUUGCAUCCACUUGUCAUGAGCGUGAAUGUCGUGUUAGUUUUGGGAUUUUACUGAUUUCUGUAACGAUUAUACAGCAUACAUGUUUAAUGACCCAAUAAAACAAGAUUGUAUUUCUACCUGCUGAUUUGAAGUGAAACUGAAGAGUUAGGAGGUAAUCCUCCUUCAUUAUUCCAUACCUUUUGUGUAAUGUACCAGUACCACUGGCAUGAUGCUACCACCACCAUGCCUAACAGUUCACACAGUGUUCUUAGAUUUGAAAGCCUCACUUUACUCCUCCAAAGAUAUCACCAGAAAGCAUUUGACUUUGUGUUUUUGUCUUAAUCGACAUCCUCUCCGUCAAUGGUGAUAUCAAACUUGCUUCUCUGUGGACAGAGAUGCAGGAGUUCCAGCAGUUUGCAGUUCAUGGCAGGGAUAACAUCAAAUUAUGUACAGUCGGUUGAACUGAUGAUUCAAAAAUCUGACCACAUUUACACAGACAGGAUGAAAUGUCUCAUUUAAGUUACACCUGCUGCACCAGGUGUUUUGAUCUGUGGGUUUUCUAGUUGUUCUGUCUCCUGCGAUCUUCCAGAAGCCCCUGGUACUUGGCCAGCUUCCUCUUGAAAUGCCUGCUCUAUACAAUCUUCCCAGAUUGCUGUCAGAGCAAGCUGUUUUGAAGUCCCUGGCUCAAGUCUACCAUUACCUGCCAGUGUUCAUGAUGGAAAGUAGACCUGCAGCAGUUUCAGUUGCUCUCCCACUUUGACAAAUGUUAUGUUUCCUAAGGGGACAGCAGAGCCUGUUUAUUGUCACAGCUGGGGAGCGACCCAUAGCAACCGUCCCCAAGGGCCUUCAAAUAGCAGCUCAGGAUGUGUGUGAGUGUCAAACUCCCAGAGCACAGCAGACGGGAAGGUGUUUCUGCCUUGGAAAGGCUAAGUAAGAUGUUACAUAGAGAGCUUUCAACUCAUUGCAUUCUCUGGUUAUAUCCAAGCUCUCUGCUUCUUUCCUCAUUCACUGCUGCUAUCAUCUCCUCUUAAUUUCAUCCACUUUGUUCCCCAUUCUGCAUUUUGUUCCUCACUCCACCCCUUAAGUUUGACAGCAGGAGAUGAGCAGACUUGGCCACAUCAGGCUAACCAGUGAUUCAGAUAUAAACAUUUAACUACAAUUAUCCAGCAUUCUGUGAAAAUGAUGAAAUUUGUUAAAAAUUAGGGGAAGGUAAUGCUAAAUCAUAAAAAUUAAAGAGUAAAUCUAUAAACUAUAUCCAUUGUUUUUAGUUCUAUGAUUUAAAACGAGCCACCAGUAAUUAGAGAGGCCAGAAUCAAAUACACACAUAUUUCACAUUGGAUCUUAAAUUUAACUUAGCUUUUUCCUUUUUUAAAAAAAAGAGAAUUUGACAUUUACAUUUUUAUCAAUGAAAUGCUUUUUA